CCUCGGGCGGCUGCAGUGGGGAAUAUUGAACAAUGGGCGAAAGCCUGAUCCAGCCAUGCCGCGUGUGUGAAGAAGGCCUUCGGGUUGUAAAGCACUUUCAGUGGGGAAGAAAGCCUUGGGGCUAAUACCCUCGAGGAAGGACAUCACCCACAGAAGAAGCACCGGCUAACUCCGUGCCAGCAGCCGCGGUAAUACGGAGGGUGCGAGCGUUAAUCGGAAUUACUGGGCGUAAAGCGCGCGUAGGCGGUCUGAUAAGCCGGUUGUGAAAGCCCCGGGCUCAACCUGGGAACGGCAUCCGGAACUGUCAGGCUAGAGUGCAGGAGAGGAAGGUAGAAUUCCCGGUGUAGCGGUGAAAUGCGUAGAGAUCGGGAGGAAUACCAGUGGCGAAGGCGGCCUUCUGGACUGACACUGACGCUGAGGUGCGAAAGCGUGGGUAGCAAACAGGAUUAGAUACCCGAGUAGUC
rnacentral:rRNA from 1 species